GAUGAACGCUGGCGGCGUGCUUAACACAUGCAAGUCGAACGGAAAGGCCGCAUUUGGGUUCUAUUCUCGUGUCGCACGCGGGAGUGACACGUGUGUGUCCUGUGCCCUACUUUUGGGUAUCAGCUGGGGACAGUGGCUAUAACCCGGUAGAUGCUCCUGCCGCGUGUUGGGGUGUGGAAAGCUUUGGCGGUUUGGGAUGGGCUCGCGGCUUAUCAGCUUGUUGGUGGGGUAGUGGCUUACCAAGGCGUUGACGGGUAGCCGGCCUGGGGGGGUGGCCGGCCCAAUUGGGACCUGGGUACGGGCCAGGCUCCUACCGGGGGCAACAGGGGGGAAUUUUGCACAAUGGGUGGCAGGCUGAUGCAGCAGAGCCGGGUGCGGGAUGACGGCCUUCGGGGUGUAAACCGCUUUCGGCCAUGGAGAAGCUUUGUGUGACGGUAGUGGGUGAAGAAGCACCGGCUAACUACGUG
rnacentral:rRNA from 1 species